GAUGAACGCUGGCGGCGUGCCUAAUACAUGCAAGUCGAGCGAAUGGAUUAAGAGCUUGCUCUUAUGAAGUUAGCGGCGGACGGGUGAGUAACACGUGGGUAACCUGCCCAUAAGACUGGGAUAACUCCGGGAAACCGGGGCUAAUACCGGAUAAUAUUUUGAACUGCAUGGUUCAAAAUUGAAAGGCGGCUUCGGCUGUAACUUAUGGAUGGACCCGCGUCGCAUUAGCUAGUUGGUGAGGUAACGGCUCACCAGGGCAACGAUGCGUAGCCGACCUGAGAGGGUGAUCGGCUACACUGGGACUGAGACACGGCCCAGACUCCUACGGGAGGCAGCAGUAGGGAAUCUUCCGCAAUGGACGAAAGUCUGACGGAGCAACGCCGCGUGAGUGAUGAAGGCUUUCGGGUCGUAAAACUCUGUUGUUAGGGAAGAACAAGUGCUAGUUGAAUAAGCUGGCACCUUGACGGUACCUAACCAGAAAGCCACGGCUAACUACGUGCCAGCCGCCGCAGUAA
rnacentral:rRNA from 1 species